GCCAGACUCAGUGGUGUGCACCUGUAGUUCUUGCUGCUCAGUGCCUGAGGUGGGAGGAUUGCUUGAGCCCAGGAGUUCUGGGCUGUGGUGCACUAUGCUGAUCAAUUGAUCAAUCCACUGUCUGCACUAAGUUCAGCAUGAAUACAGUGACCUCUUGGGAGGGCAGGACCAUCAGGUUGCCUAAAGAGGGGUGAACUGGCCCAGGUUGGAAGUGGAGAAGGUCAAAACUGCUGUGCUAUCCAGUAGUGGGAUGACAUCUGUGAAUAGCCACUGCACUCCAGCCUAGGCAAUAUAGGGAAACCAUGUCU
rnacentral:SRP_RNA from 10 species